AUGGUCCAGAUGGGUAUCAUUAGGCUGCUGAUGCCCUCUUGCGCCGCUCUGUAGUUCUUAUCCUACACUACCUAAAAACAGGAACUAUUUCACAGCCCACCAAGAGAAAAACUCUAAGGCUUGGUCCUAUGAAUGAAUAAUGAGGGCCAUCUAGUGUCAAAAAAGGUAAUUACAGGCUUUUUAUUUUUGAGAUAGGGUCUCACGUCUAUAGUCCAGGCUGGAAUGCAGUGGCAUUCAGGACUCACUGCAGCUUUAACCUCCUGGGCUCAAGCGAUCCUCCUGCCUCGCCCCCACCACCCCCAAAGGUGGCUGAGGGAAGAGAAUGGUGUGAACCCGGGAGGCGGAGCUUGCAGUGAGCGGAGAUCACGCCACUGCACUCCAGCCUGGGUGACAGAGCUAGACUCUGUCUCAAAAAAAAAAAAAAAAAGGUAUAAACCAUAUACUUCCUAAAAUGGCAAUUUAAGGAUUUAAAGAAAGUCAGAGGAUCAGAUCAUCAUUUUAUGUCACUCUUCAAACUGUUGUGCUAUUAUAAGUUGGAACUCUC
rnacentral:antisense_RNA from 1 species